CUCUCGAGUGAUCAAUAAAGAAACACACCAGAUUCUGCCCGUGGAUGUAGGCUUACGCCGAACCACGUAAUUCGCUUGUGUUCUUCCUUGCAUCUUGUCAUUUCAUUAAUUUCCUUUUCGAUCGUCACAACCAUAAGUUCGUUCUUCACAAAAUAUGUAUCAAGCCUGAGUUGUUUAUGGAGAACAAAAUCAUCUCAGCUGAAAGAGUGAGUACUUCAAUAUACUUUCAACUGUUUGGUAAUGUAAUAGAAGAAACUAUAUAGUUUGGUACGGAAAUGGAUAGAGAAUGAUACAAUACUGAAGCCUGGAGAUUCUUGCUUUUAUUGGUGAGAGGGGAAUCAACAUGGGUGUUCGACCGAAGAGGAUACAGAUUGCGCGAGCUCCUCACCAAGAUGCCGAUAUUUAUACAUUUGAUGAUCCAUUCAGUGCUGUGGAUGCACAUACAAGCACUCAUCUUUUCAAUGGCUUUAUCUGAUCUGAUCUGACUAUUAGCUGCAAGACUGCAAACAUGCUAUUUAACAAGAUGCAUCUUUGCAUAUUCCGUGCACCCAUAUUGUAACUAUUGAUCCAAUUGUAAUAUGCAAUGCAGGUAAUGCUGGUUUAUGGCAUUAAAUAGUACUCCUAUCAGCAAGUGAAACUAUUUUGCUAGCAUGACCAAAAUUGUAGCAGCAAGUGAAACUAUGGAAGCAAGCCUGGGAUCUACAUACAAUAUAAUUAAUGCUAAGUCGACGGAUCCAGCAUAUACCAUCUAUAGAUCUGCAUAUAUCAACUGAAGUCACAUAUCCUCUUAGCAUUAACUGCCAUGAAUUUACUAAUUUCACUCCCUCCGUCCCGCAAAGUUUGACACGUUUUUGAUCUUUUAAGAAAUGUAAUAGAA